rfam:Rattus norvegicus chromosome X, whole genome shotgun sequence.
GGGGAUUUAGCUCAGUGGUAGAGCGCUUGUCUAACAAGCGCAAGGCCCUGGGUUCGAUCCUCAGCUCCG